GGGGGGGGGGCCCUCAGCACCUUUUCAUUAAUAUGCAGUACCUUCUACAUACCCUUGUCCACAGAUGACUUCUUUUCCAAUUUUUAAAGAGGCAAGUGACCACCUCCACAAUUCCCCCACAGAGCUGCAGUUGAACAAUUAUCGAUUCCCAGGAGAGAGGUUUCCCCAGAAUCGACGUCAAAGGAUUCCUACCCACGCUUUGGAAUUAGGAACAUCUCAUUUUCAUCCUCCCUCAUGCACACACACACUCUCUUAUUAAACGAUAUGAGCUUGA